GAAGAGGAAGAGGUGGGUGGUUUCCAUGGAGUGUGGUGGUGGUCUCUCAUUGUUUAGUUGCUGUGAUUGAGGUCGGUCGGGUAACGACGGAGACACUAAAACAUCGUGUCACGGUCGCCGUAGGAGCCGUUACUGCUUGGACAAAUUUGAACACAUUGCGUCUUCGUUACAGUCUCACAGAGCUGUAGGUCAGUUUGAAACUCUAGCUGAAGUGAGUAACACUAUAACAUAACACAACACGGCAAGUGAAGAUUUUGUUGUCUAGUAUAUGUGUUGGGAGCAAAUAAAAUGGGCAAAUCGAAGGAUUUGAGUGACUUUGACAAGGGCCAGAUCGUGAUGGGUAGACGACUUGGUCUGAGCAUCUCCAAAACCGCAGCCCUUGUGGGCUGUUCCCGGUCGGCAGUGGUCAAUACCUAUCAAAAGUGGAUCAAGGAAGGAAAGGCGGUGAACCGGCGACAGGGUAACGGGCGGCCGAGGCUCAUUGACGAGGAAAUGCUGGCCAGCGUGGUCCAGUCCAACAAACAAGCGACUGUAGCCGAAAUCGCGGAAAAGGUUAACGCUAGUUCUGACAUAAAGGUGUCGGAACACACGGUGCAUCGCAGUUUGUUGCGUAUGGGGCUGGGGAGCCGCAGCGCAGUCAGGGUGACCAUGGUUUGAGGAACGCGUCGACGAGCUCAAGAUGUCGACUUGCCCUUCAAAUUCCCCAAGUCUCAAUUCAGUCAAGCAUCCGUGGGAUGCGCUGGACAAAUAAUUCCGAUCCACGGAGUCCUCACCACACAACCUGCAAGACUUAAAGGAUCUGCUGCUAAUGUUCUGGUUCCAAAUACCACAGCCCACCUCCAGAGGUAGAGGAGUCUGUGCCUCGACAGGUCAGGACGUUUUUUUGGUGCAGAAGGAGAGGGGGGGGCUACAUUUAUUUCCAACGUUGUCCGGAGGUUUCUGUUUUGUCGUAUCUCCAUUAGUUUGUCACUGCUGCAAACGUGGCUUAAUACUAAACAUGUGCUUUGGUUUUCGGUGUAGCCUCUUGAAACCACAUGUUCCAAAGCUGUACAAUUUAUGGUAGUGUUCUCAUCUGUGUACUAAAUACUUUUGAAUAAAGUUUGUGUCUGUUUGUAGAGUCA